UGGGGAAUAUUGCACAAUGGGCGCAAGCCUGAUGCAGCCAUGCCGCGUGUGUGAAGAAGGCCUUCGGGUUGUAAAGCACUUUCAGCGAGGAGGAAGGUGGUGAACUUAAUACGUUCAUCAAUUGACGUUACUCGCAGAAGAAGCACCGGCUAACUCCGUGCCAGCAGCCGCGGUAAUACGGAGGGUGCAAGCGUUAAUCGGAAUUACUGGGCGUAAAGCGCACGCAGGCGGUUUGUUAAGUCAGAUGUGAAAUCCCCGGGCUCAACCUGGGAACUGCAUUUGAAACUGGCAAGCUAGAGUCUCGUAGAGGGGGGUAGAAUUCCAGGUGUAGCGGUGAAAUGCGGUAGAGAUCUGGAGGAAUACCGGUGGCGAAGGCGGCCCCCUGGACGAAGACUGACGCUCAGGUGCGAAAGCGUGGGGAGCAAACAGGAUUAGAU
rnacentral:rRNA from 1 species